AAUUUGCAUUAUUUUUAUUAGGAUAAAACAAUAUAUAUAACAAGAAUGUUGAGCAACAACGUCAGUGAAUAUGAGAAGCUACGGCAGAAAAAUAUUGAAGAAAAUAAGAAGAUGUUGGAAAGUUUAGGCUUGCUCAGAUCUUUUAAACCCAUCCUUGAACCAAUUAAAAAACGUGUGCCUGUACAAAAAAAGCCCCAACCAGCAGUAAAAAGAAAAUUUGAAGGUGAAACCAACACCACAGAAUUAGUUGCAUAUGAAGGUGUUCGAGUAAGAAGAUCAUUGCGGAACAAAGGCAUAGAGCCUGAUGGGACGCCUUUACCAGAUGACAUAGAUGAUAUUGAUACAUACAAACCAAAGCCACCAAAAUUAAAAAGAGAAAAUUAUUUUGGCCCACCAGAAGGAAUUCCAGUUGGUACACACUGGGAAACAAGAAUGGGGUGCAGUGCAGAUGGAGUACAUCGUCCAACUGUUGCUGGUAUUCACGGCAACGAGAAUUAUGGAUGCUAUUCCAUUGCACUUUCAGGUGGCUAUGAAGACGAUAUUGACUUGGGAGUCAGUUUUACGUAUACUGGAUCAGGUGGAAGAGAUUUAAAAGGAACUAAAGCGAAUCCCAAGAAUCUUCGCACUGCACCUCAAUCAAAAGAUCAAACAUUUACUAAAAUGAAUUUAGCAUUAUCACGGAAUGUAGAAACACACCAUCCUGUUCGAGUUAUAAGAGGAUAUAAAUGUCCGAGUGAAUUUGCACCUGAGUAUGGUUAUAGAUACGAUGGUUUGUACACCGUUGAAAAAAGUUGGUCAGCUGUCGGUUUGAGUGGUUUUAUUGUGUGUAAAUAUAUUUUAAAGAGAAUGGAAGAUCAAGCACCUCCGCCUUGGAAGGAAAGCAUACAGGAUGACAAUAAUAAUAUUGUCAAAGAAACAGAACACACGGAUGUUAAUGAAUAACGUAAAAUUGUCGCCACUUUUAAGAAUGUGUUUUUCGACCAAGCAACGCCGAGAAGAACUCGAUUGUUCUACUGUACGCAAGCCUGAAUUGGCUCAAUUAUUUUACUGUACGCAAGCCUAAAUUGCCAGAGGUUACUGUUUAAACAGACGAUAUAUUCAUCUUUCACAAAACAAUUGAAAUCUCACGUGGUUGUGUUGUUGUCGACAACGCGUAUCAGCUUCCACAAAACAAUUGAAAUCUCACGUGGUUGUGUUGUUGUCGACAACGCGUAUUGUGCAGAUCUACUUGUGGGCAAAGAUCUUUCCUGUUUUGUAUUUUUUCUUGGCCAUUAAAAAUAAAAAUAAAUGUUAUUGUUGUA